UAUUAAAAAUUUCUAUCUAUUUUUACUAUUAAAAACUGACUUGGCCGAUAGAAUAACAAGACACUGACACGUGAUUUGGCAUGUAUAACUUAUGCUAAUUACAAGGAGCAGUUUUUAAUAAUAAAAAAUUAAUGAAAUUUUUAACA
rfam:Gossypium raimondii Chr01_contig_1198, whole genome shotgun sequence.